rnacentral:rRNA from 1 species
GACGAACGCUGGCGGCGUGCUUAACACAUGCAAGUCGAACGGUGAAGCGCCUUUCUUUUUGGUGGUUGUGGAUGCUUGGCUAACGGGUGAGUAACACGUGCGUAACCUGCCUCCUUCUUCUGGAUAACCGCAUGAAAGUGUGGCUAAUACGUGAUAUUCUGGGUUUGUCGCAUGAUGGGUCUGGGGAAGAUGUUGUUUCGGUGGGGGAUGGGCUGGUGGCCUCUCAGCUUGUUGGUGGUGUGGUGGCGUACUAAGGCGGUGACGGGUAGUCGGCGUGAGGGGGUGGACGGCCGCACUGGGACUGAGGAGCGGCCCAGACGCCUACGAGGGGCAGCAGUGGGGAAUAUUGCAGAAUGGGGGGAAGACUGAUGAAGCGGCGACGCGUGAGGGAUGAUGGCCUCCGGGUUGUGAACAUCUUUCGCCAGUGACGAGGGCCUGCCUCGGUUGUGAGUGGGUUGACGGUAGCUGGAUAAGAAGCGCCGGCUAACUACGUG